GUUCACUACUAUGCUGUUACGGAGAUGGCUACGAGAGAGUGGAACCACACUGUGGAAGAAGCUUCUGUCUUCUCUGACAAGGAAGAGGAGACAUGGGAAGCUGGGAUGUCUGUUGCUUUGUGAUUCCAUGAUAGACUUGACAACACAGAAACUACCACAAUGUGAGGAAGCCCAGCAGUCCUCUGACCACACCAUACCUGAGCACAUUUACUGUGGACAGCAUGUUUAGCUUGAAGUCUUU